rnacentral:rRNA from 1 species
AGAGUUUGAUCCUGGCUCAGAACGAACGCUGGCGGCAGGCCUAACACAUGCAAGUCGAGCGCCCGCAAGGGAGCGGCAGACGGGUGAGUAACGCGUGGGAACGUGCCCUUUGGUUCGGAAUAUUCCCGGGAAACUGGGAGCAAAACCGGAUAAGCCCUUCGGGGAAAGUUUACGCCAAAGGAUCGGCCCGCGUUAGAUUAGGUAGUUGGUGGGGUAACGGCCUACCAAGCCUACGAUCUAUAGCUGAUCUGAGAGGAUGAUCAGCCACACUGGGACUGAGACACGGCCCAGACUCCUACGGGAGGCAGCAGUGGGGAAUCUUGGACAAUGGGCGCAAGCCUGAUCCAGCCAUGCCGCGUGGAUGACUGAAGGCCCUAGGGUUGUAAAGUCCUUUCGACGGGGACGAUAAUGACGGUACCCGUAGAAGAAGCCCCGGCUAACUUCGUGCCAGCAGCCGCGGUAAUACGAAGGGGGCUAGCGUUGUUCGGAUUUACUGGGCGUAAAGGGCGCGUAGGCGGAUUUUUAAGUCGGGGGUGAAAUCCCGGAGCUCAACUCCGGAACUGCCUUCGAUACUGAAAGUCUGGAGCACGGUAGAGGUGAGUGGAAUUCCGAGUGUAGCGGUGAAAUGCGUAGA